rnacentral:rRNA from 1 species
GAUGAACGCUGGCGGCGUGCCUAACACAUGCAAGUCGAACGGAGACGCUUUGGAAAUCUCUUCGGAGCUGGAAUCCUAGACUUAGUGGCGGACGGGUGAGUAACGCGUGAGCAAUCUGCUUAUAAGAGGGGGAUAACAGUCGGAACCGGUUGCUAAUACCGCAUAAAGCAUUAGAUUCGCAUGUUUUUGAUGUCAAAGGAGCAAUCCGCUCUUAGAUGAGCUUGCGUCUGAUUAGCGAGUGUGGGGGGUAUCGGCGCACCAGGGCGACGAUGAGUAGCCGGACUGAGGGGUAGAGCGGCCACAGGGGGAGUGAGACGCGGCACAGACUCCUGCGGGAGACAGGAGUGGAGAAUAUUGCGCUAGGGGGGAAACCCUGGCGGAGCAGCGGCGCGUGAUAGAAGAAGCUCUUCGGGUUGUAAAGAUCUUGAAUCAGAGACGAAGCAAAUGACGGUACCGGAUGAAUAAGCUCCGGCUAACUACGUG